GCCGCUGUAGCUCAUGCGGACAGAGCGACCGUUUCCUAAACGGUAGGCAGGGGGUUCGAGUCCUCCCAGCGGUG
rnacentral:tRNA from 1 species